rnacentral:rRNA from 1 species
GCCAGACUCCUACGGGAGGCAGCAGUGGGGGAUAUUGCACAAUGGGGGGAACCCUGAUGCAGCGACGCCGCGUGGGUGAAGGAGUAUUUCGGUAUGUAAAGCUCUAUCAGCAGGGAAGAAAAUGACGGUACCUGACUAAGAAGCCCCGGCUAACUACGUGCCAGCAGCCGCGGUAAUACGUAGGGGGCAAGCGUUAUCCGGAUUUACUGGGUGUAAAGGGAGCGUAGACGGCAUGGCAAGUCAGAUGUGAAAGCCCGGGGCUCAACCCCGGGACUGCAUUUGAAACUGUCAGGCUGGAGUGCAGGAGAGGUAAGUGGAAUUCCUAGUGUAGCGGUGAAAUGCGUAGAUAUACGGAGGAACACCAGUGGCGAAGGCGGAUUGCUGGACAGUAACUGACGCUGAGGCGCGAAAGCGUGGGGAGCAAACAGGAUUAGAUACCCUGGUACGA